UGUCAAAACUUUUAACAACGGAUCUCUUGGCUCCAGCAUCGAUGAAGAACGCAGCGAAACGCGAUAUGUAAUGUGAAUUGCAGAAUUCAGUGAAUCAUCGAAUCUUUGAACGCACAUGGCGCCUUCCAGUAUCCUGGGAGGCAUGCCUGUCCGAGCGUCGUU
rnacentral:rRNA from 2 species